CCAGACUCCUACGGGAGGCAGCAGUGGGGAAUAUUGGGCAAUGGGCGCAAGCCUGACCCAGCAACGCCGCGUGAAGGAAGAAGGCUUUCGGGUUGUAAACUUCUUUUAUGAGGGACGAAACAAAUGACGGUACCUCAUGAAUAAGCCACGGCUAACUACGUGCCAGCAGCCGCGGUAAUACGUAGGUGGCAAGCGCUAUCCGGAUUUACUGGGUGUAAAGGGCGCGUAGGCGGGGAUGCAAGUUGGGUGUCAAAACUACCGGCUCAACUGGUAGUCGCACUCAAAACUGCAGCUCUUGAGUGAAGUAGAGGCAGGCGGAAUUCCUAGUGUAGCGGUGAAAUGCGUAGAUAUUAGGAGGAACACCAGUGGCGAAGGCGGCCUGCUGGACUGCGACUGACGUUGAGGCCCGAAAGCGUGGGGAGCAAACAGGAUUAGAUACCCCAGUAUG
rnacentral:rRNA from 1 species